UAGGGAAUCUUCGGCAAUGGGGGGAACCCUGACCGAGCAACGCCGCGUGAGUGAAGAAGGUUUUCGGAUCGUAAAGCUCUGUUGUUAAGGAAGAACGAGUGUGAGAAUGGAAAGUUCAUACUGUGACGGUACUUAACCAGAAAGGGACGGCUAACUACGUGCCAGCAGCCGCGGUAAUACGUAGGUCCCGAGCGUUGUCCGGAUUUAUUGGGCGUAAAGCGAGCGCAGGCGGUUAGAUAAGUCUGAAGUUAAAGGCAGUGGCUCAACCAUUGUAGGCUUUGGAAACUGUUUAACUUGAGUGCGGGAGGGGAGAGUGGAAUUCCAUGUGUAGCGGUGAAAUGCGUAGAUAUAUGGAGGAACACCGGUGGCAAAAGCGGCUCUCUGGUCUGUAACUGACGCUGAGGCUCGAAAGCGUGGGGAGCGAACGGG
rnacentral:rRNA from 1 species